rnacentral:rRNA from 1 species
GCACAAGCGGCGGAGCAUGCGGAUUAAUUCGAUGCAACGCGAAGAACCUUACCAAGGCUUGACAUACACCGGUAACGCCCAGAGAUGGGUGCCCCUUUGUGGUCGGUGUACAGGUGGUGCAUGGUUGUCGUCAGCUCGUGUCGUGAGAUGUUGGGUUAAGUCCCGCAACGAGCGCAACCCUCGUCCUAUGUUGCCAGCGGGUCAUGCCGGGGACUCAUGGGAGACUGCCGGGGUCAACUCGGAGGAAGGUGGGGAUGACGUCAAAUCAUCAUGCCCCUUAUGUCUUGGGCUUCACGCAUGCUACAAUGGCCGGUACAAAGGGCUGCGAUACCGCGAGGUGGAGCGAAUCCCAGAAAGCCGGUCUCAGUUCGGAUUGGGGUCUGCAACUCGACCCCAUGAAGUCGGAGUCGCUAGUAAUCGGAUAUCAGCAAUGAUCCGGUGAAUACGUUCCCGGGCCUU